AAGCAAAUGGAACGGCACAUCAUCACACAAACACUUCCCGUUCCCACGCACGCACGCGAUGGCCACCUCCGCCGCGCCUGCGUCGCCGCACGCCCUCUUCCUCCCCUACCCGGCGCAGGGCCACGUCAUCCCGUUCAUGGAGCUCGCCCACCGCUUCCUCGACCGCGGCUUCGCCGUCACCUUCGUCAACACCAAGUUCAACCACCGCCGCGUCGUCGCAGUUGCCGGCGGCGCGACGACGGCGUACUCUUCGGCGGGAGGAGGGCGGCUGCGUCUCGUCGCGGUGGACGACGGGAUAGACGACGCCGGGGACCACGAGAACCUGAUCCUGCUCAACGCCGCCAUGCAGGAGGCCAUCCCGCCGCAGCUGGAGGCGCUUAUCGACGGCGAGGAUGCGGCUGGCCAGGGGCUGGGAAAGGUGACAUGCAUGGUGGUCGACUCCGGCAUGUCGUGGGCGCUGGAUGUUGUGAAGCGUCGGGGGCUCCCGUCGGCCGCGCUCUGGCCGGCGUCUGCGGCCGUGCUCUCGGUGCUGGUCAACGCCAAGAGACUGAUACGCGAUGGCGUCAUCGAUGACGACGGAGCACCCGUUAACUUGAAGAACAACUCAUUCAAUCUCAACGAGUCCACAACGUCCAUGGACGCGACCUUCCUCGCCUGGAAUUACAUGGGCAACCGUGACGCCGAGCGCCUGGUGUUCCACUACCUCACCUCCACCGCGCAGGCCGCCGCAGCGAAGGCCGACUUCCUCCUCUGCAACACGUUCUCCGACAUCGAGCCGGCCGUCUUCGCCGGCCCCACGCCGGCUACCAUCCUCCCCAUCGGCCCGCUCCGCACAUGGCAGCGGCCGACGAGACAUGCGCCCGUGGGGCACUUCUGGCACCCCGACGACGACGCCUGCAUGUCCUUCCUGGACGCGCAACCCCGCGGAUCCGUCGUGUACGUGGCGUUCGGAAGCAUCAGCAUCAUGACCGCGGCGCAGCUUGAGGAGCUCGCGCUCGGGCUCGAGGCCUCCGGCCGGCCGUUCCUGUGGGUCGUCAGGCCUGAGCAGGCCGGCAAGCUCCCAGCCGGGUUUGCGGACGCCAUUGACGGGCUCGGGAAGGGCAAAGUGGUCGGCUGGGCACCGCAGGAGCAGGUGCUGGGGCACCCUGCGGUGGGCUGCUUUGUUACACACUGCGGGUGGAACUCCACGCUAGAGGGCAUCCGCAAUGGACUGCCCAUGCUAUGCUGGCCAUACUUCACCGACCAGUUCACGAACCAGACAUAUAUAUGUGACAUCUGGAGGGUCGGGCUACGGGUUGCGUCGGCCGAGGGUGGCCGGCUGGUGAUGAAGGAGAGGGUCGUGGAGCUGCUGGAUAGGAUUUUCGAGGACGAAAGUGCCAAGGAAAGAGUGCUGAGGUUGAAGGAAAUGGCGGAGAAAAACAUGAGCGAAGAAGGCCAGUCGUUGAACAAUCUGAAUGUGCUGAUGGAGUCCAUGGGAAGGUAGAUGUUGUACAGGAUGGUUGUUGGUUCACGUGUCAACGUUGUGUGGGCUAUGAUCAGUAUUGAGCUUUCUCAUUGUUUAGCACCUGGAAUAAAUGGAGCAUGGUGUAAGCCUUUGCCAGGCGCUUCAGACCCUUUCAUCGCCGAGCUACUGGCCUUUCGGGAGGGGGUCAUCUUCGCCCAACUCCGAGGUUUCUCACAUGUGAUCAUGGAGGUGGACUGCUCACAGUUGGUCGACCUCUGGAACUCGCGAGGCAAUUCUAGAUCGGUUGCUUCGCCCAUCUUUAGAGAGUUAGCGGACUACAUCGUUACUUUUACUUCUUUUUCGGUUCGACAUGUUGGUAGGGAACAAAAUGUGCCGGCCCAUCUUUGUGCUCAGCGUGCCUGUACACUUGAUGGGACGGAAUGCUGGCUUGAGAGCAGCCCGGAUUUUAUCCGACCCAGCCUACGGGCAGAUUGUAACCGACUACUGUUAUUUUGAAUAAAGUCCGAACUUCGAUGCAAAAAAAAAAACUUACAAUUACAAUUAUCUAAGGGACGCGUUUUUCAUACUUAGGGCUCCUUUGAUUCAGAGGAAUUGUACAGGAUUUUUAGAGGAUUGAAAUCCUUAGAAAUUUUUCAUCCUUUGAUUCGUAGGAUUGGAUCCCAUAUAAAUUAUUUCAAUGUAAUCUUUUGUACUACAAUCCAUAGAAAAUCUAACGUCCACUCCAACAUCUCCUUACAAUUCCUUUGUUUUUCCUUUGGCCUUAAACACUCCUUGCUAAUCCUGUAAACGCAAAAGAAUUGUGGAUUUUGAAAUAACAAGGUUGGUUCUUAAUUCCAACACCAUUAUAGAUUCUUGUGAAUGUUAUUCAUCAGCGUUGUAUGAAAAGAUACCAUAAAAAUACAAAAAAGAUAAAAAAGGAAACCAAACACUAAAAAAAAGAU